rnacentral:lncRNA from 1 species
UUUUUCGGAGCCAUUCAAGCUUUAAAGGCUAAAAUCAAGAAGUUUAGGUUUUUGGCUAUGGUUUUGGUGUAAAUCUUGUAUGAUUUGGAGUUUAUAUAAAGAAGAUAUAGGUGCUCAAAGUUAAGGUAUUGAUUUAGGAGCUACUGUCACUCUUUUUGAUAAAACAUACGCAUACGGAUAGCAACUGAGGAUAGGAGACCUUAACUAAAGAAAGCACUUUUGUGGCUACACUUUUUAUGUACUGCUUGCUAGAUUUCAAGUUGGAAUGAAGGAGUUAUUGAAUUUUGAAGUCAGCGCAUGCAAUCUAAGAGUAGUAAGUGACCCGAUUUACUAGUGGUUGUGACUUGAGCUGUAUCUUGAGCAAUUUGACAAGGUUUUGGCUCAAAAUUUUAGAAAAUGUAUAAUUUUAUGUUAGUAAACUUUGUACAUAAGUUUGACAUUUGAAUAUUGGAUUCUUGAAAUACUAAGAAAAUAGUGCUCAUAUGCUUGUAAUUUAGGAUUUAGAGUAACUUCUAGAAUUUCUUAGAUACCAAAAGAUCGAGAGUGAAUUUGUGGUUGAUUGUUUUUGUGGUAAAAAUUAAGAAUGAAUUCUACCUAUCCUAUAAAUUUGAAACAAAUUGAACAAUUAGAUCAAGAGUUAUGAAUUUCUAAAGUUUGAGACAAGAAAAUCCUUCGCGGAAAAAAUAUGUUUUGAAGGAAUUUUGUUAUAUUUU